GUACACACCGCCCGUCACACCAUGGGAGUGGGUUGCACCAGAAGCCGGUAGUCUAACCUUCGGGAGGGCGCCGACCACGGUGUGAUUCAUGACUGGGGUGAAGUCGUAACAAGGUAUUCGUAGGUGAACCUGCAGAAGGAUCA
rnacentral:rRNA from 1 species